CCGGGCCCGCAGCAGCGAGAGUUUUGGCACCUCCUCCUCUAUUUCUUCUGCGAGCAAAUGUGUCAAACCAGGCAGGUAAUCACAUACAGGAAGGCCACUGUGGAGCUGGAUACU